AGCAUCAUGCAAAUUAUGCUUUUCGAUGAAGUCAAAUAGAUCCGGUUUCAUAAGAUCAGCAUAAAGAGCAAAAGCUUUAUCGUGUUGUCCAUCAAUUACAUAUAACUCAGCUAGCGCCUCUUUGAGUGGAUCAGUCAUAGAUGAGGUAUUAAUCUGAGGUUCAAUAGCGGAGAAAACAGGCGUUGUUGAAUAAAUGCGAGGUGGCCAAGAUUUGACCGUCGAUAACAGAUCCUUGUGGAAAGAUGGAUUUGUCGCCAAAGCAACAAGAGCUACCUCAUAAGCCGUAUCACGUAAUCUUGGGUUUUCAGUUGGGAUAUAUGGAACCAAAACUGGAAGCUGCCGGAGAUGUGCAAAGUGGAAAACCCAUCUUUCCCACGCGGAAGCUGAUCCUCGCAACAACUUUGGGCACAAAGAUGCCGCUUCAGCAUAUUUUCUUUCAACAAUCAAAUGAUCAAGGUAUCUUGAACCAACCUCAUCAAGUAGUUCACUCUGACCCUGAUUGGCUUCAACCGC
rnacentral:misc_RNA from 1 species